rnacentral:rRNA from 1 species
GACGAACGCUGGCGGCGUGCUUAACACAUGCAAGUCGAACGGAAAGGCCCUGCUUGCAGGGUACUCGAGUGGCGAACGGGUGAGUAACACGUGGGUGAUCUGCCCUGCACUUCGGGAUAAGCCUGGGAAACUGGGUCUAAUACCGGAUAGGAGCCAUUUUUAGUGUGAUGGUUGGAAAGUUUUUUCGGUGUAGGAUGAGCUCGCGGCCUAUCAGCUUGUUGGUGGGGUAAUGGCCUACCAAGGCGGCGACGGGUAGCCGGCCUGAGAGGGUGGACGGCCAACAUGGGGACUGGGUAACGGCCAGGAUUCCAAGGGGGGCAACCGGGGGGAAUAUUGGCACAUGGGGGCCAGGCUGGUGGAGGCGAGCCGCGGGGGGGAAGGCCGCCUUCGGGGUGUUAAACCCUUUUGCUAAGGAAGAAACUUUUUGUGACGGUAACUUGAUAAGAAGCCACGGCUAAAUUACUG